CNGUCUGGUGCCAGCAGCCGCGGUAAUUCCAGCUCCAAUAGCGUAUAUUAAAGUUGUUGCAGUUAAAAAGCUCGUAGUUGAAUUUCGGGGUCAGUAGGUUGGUCGUGCCACCGGUACGUACUGGUCUCACUGAUUCCUCCUUCCUGAUGAGCUGUAAUGCCAUUAAUUUGGUGUUGCAGGGAAUCUGGACUGUUACUUUGAAAAAAUUAGAGUGUUUAAAGCAGGCUAACGCUUGAAUACAUUAGCAUGGAAUAAUGAAAUAGGACGUUCGAUCCUAUUUUGUUGGUUUCUAGGAUUGACGUAAUGAUUAAUAGGGAUAGUUGGGGGCAUUAGUAUUCAAUUGUCAGAGGUGAAAUUCUUGGAUUUAUUGAAGACUAACUACUGCGAAAGCAUUUGCCAAGGAUGUUUUCAUUAAUCAAGAACGAAAGUUAGGGGAUCGAAGACGAUCAGAUACCGUCGUAGU
rnacentral:rRNA from 1 species